GACGAACCGUACAAACGUUAUUCGGAAUCACUGGGCUUAAAGGGUGCGUAGGCGGCGCGGAAAGUAGGGUGUGAAAAUCCCUCGGCUCAACCGAGGAAUUGCGCCCUAAACUACCGUGCUCGAGGGAGAUAGAGGUGAGCGGAACUUAGGGUGGAGCGGUGAAAUGCGUUGAUUAUCCUAAGGAACACCGGUGGCGAAAGCGGCUCACUGGAUCUCUUCUGACGCUGAGGCACGAAAAGCUAGGGUAGCGAAACGGGG
rnacentral:rRNA from 1 species